rnacentral:rRNA from 1 species
UACGGAGGAUCCAAGCGUUAUCCGGAUUUAUUGGGUUUAAAGGGUGCGUAGGCGGCCUAUUAAGUCAGUGGUGAAAUACAGCAGCUCAACUGUUGAGGUGCCAUUGAUACUGAAUAGCUUGAGUACAGAUGAGGUAGGCGGAAUUUAUGGUGUAGCGGUGAAAUGCAUAGAUACCAUAAAGAACACCGAUUGCGAAGGCAGCUUACUAAGCUGUAACUGACGCUGAGGCACGAAAGCGUGGGGAGCGAACAGG